UCGCCCCCCGAAUCUCUCUAAAAUACUCUAAAAAAAAAAUCUCUAAAAAAAAAACUCGCCCCCCGAAUCCUCGUCGUCUCUCUCCGCAGGUCCUACAGAAACUCGCCGGAGAAUCCUCCUCCCGUCCUCCGCCGUCCUUCCUUUCCCAUCUUCCUCCCUCCAUGCGAGUUUCCUUCCCCAUCCUCGCCUCCUCGGUCCAUCGCCCCGGCGGGCUAGUUUUUAGUUGGAGGUUGGCGGCCGGCGAGAUGCGUCGGCGCCGGCAACCGGAGAGGAGGAGGAUGGCCACGCGCGGCAUCGGCGAGGGGGACGCCCGGAGUUGCGUGCGCGAAGGAGCGUGCGGGCAAAGGCCAUCGCCGCCGGCCAAAUCGACCGGGCAUUGGUUCGCAUCACUAGUUGUUGCUCGCUCCCUUGCACAAGCUAGGCUGCAAAUACACUGGGAAGGAGAUUGCAGCAAGACAAACGCUAGAUGUCAUCUUCCUAAUCCUAAGUAGAUGUGAUUUACUUGUCUACCGAGAUGAGAUGGUACAAGAAUCAAUUGAUGGGAGGAGGAAGGUCAUGUGAAGAUACAUCUUUAUCGAUAGAAAAAGAAGUGAAUAGUGUGGGUGGUGAGAUAUACUCGAUGACUCUGUAUAUCUACUGGUACGAGCUCUUUUACGGUACCCCGGAUUUAAUAUAGACCGUUUAUUUCUCUUGAUCUUGUGGCCGAUAUUGUCAGGUACUCCAUCGCUAACUCCAUGGAGUACCGAGUCUGAAAUCAACGGAGUAGCUCGAUUUGGAGGGCAAAAUUGUAAUUGCGUUCGGAUAAAUCUUUUCCCGUGCUAGCUUUUAGUCAUCGGCAUGAAGCUGCCGGGCCGUAGGUGGACGCCGUUGCCCGUUGCCGACAUUGCCGCCGUCGAGGACGUGCCGGAGUGCCGGACAAGUUCUCCAAGUCAUCCAGCAUGGUCGCAGCCGGGCGCUGGAACGAGUUCCUCACGGGGAGACGGCCGGAUUAAUUCUUCUAACUCUGAAGCGUUUGCGUUUUUGCCUGCACCACUGAGCCACGGCCUGACCUUGGCCGCUAGCGGCUUGGCGAUGGAGCCGCUGGGAGCUGCCGUGGGAAAGAGGCACUUUGAUUAAGGAAACUGUUGAUCAAUUAGAAAACAUGCCUCCUAUAAUUGGAAAGGAUUGUCGCAACAUUGAUAGAAUUUUUCUUUUUUUUCCAGCCAUAACUAACAACCAUUAAGAUAGACUUUGAGAAUUGUCUAAAUUGGCCUUUAAUCUAGACGGAGAUCUGAUUGGUACUUCGGUAUUUGCUUUUGGAGCACCAGGGUACCGUAAAAAUCCUCCUACUGGUACAACUAUUAAUUCGUGAAGAACGAACAUAUUACAGGGCUGUAAAUACCAAUUCUUGACACCUCUUAUUCCUAGCAAGCUGCUACGUACUAUGUGUGCAAUAAUGUGUGUGUGGCGUUGAGAAGAUGUAAACUAGAGGUCCUUUGCCGCCUCUGCAUGAAUUAUAUAGCACAGGGUAGAGAUUAGACCCGACCACGACACGGAAAGCCAGUACUGCCAGUUCGAAUUGAUCCAGCAAGUAACCAUUUUUAUAUGAACCUUGUGUACCGAGUUACAACAUCAUGAUGAUCUGGCUCUUGCCUCUGAUUGUCACCAGUAAUUAAAAGAAGCACCUAUACACUUUGGCCUUGACAUCAAUGUAUGAUCAUGCAAAGGGUACGUCCAUCCAACUUAAGCUGGCUAAAUUGAUCUUUCUGGAGCUGUAAAGGAUAUUAUGCAGCUAAUUUUGUUUUUGACACACAAAUGCAGCUAAUUGAAAAAAAGGUAGGACUUCUCAUAUUUAGAAACGGAGUUAGUAAAUAAAUACUUAAUUGAUCUUUCUGGAGCUGUAAAGGAUAUUAUGCAGCUAAAUUAUUAUUUUGACACACAAAUGCAGCUAUACUAAUUGUUAUCUAACUCCUAACAAUUCUUCUCUCAAGCCUCAAGUAUAUAUGUUUCACAAACGUAAGUUCUCUUUGACCUGAUGGUGAGGUUUGCCUUUCUUAUGGCUUGUGGCCAAAGUCCUAAAUUGCAAUGCAGAAAGAUGCAUCAUAACUGGACACCUGAUUUAUCCCAAAUCUCACCACAAUACAUCUCAUAAUGCGGGAAACCAAGGAAUUAUGGCUUGUGGGGCUCAUUGUUUAUCCGCAACGUUCAAUACCACCACUAAAAUAGUACUCCCUCCAUUUCAUAUUAAUUAGCACCGUUUUAGUAUAAGUUGUACUUACGAGUAAUUAAAUUCUCAACUUCGUACUAGCAUAUACUCCUAAUUAGCUAGAAUCAAGAAUAAUUAAGGGAUGCACCUAACCAUAGUAACAAGUAGAGACGUGUCCCAUUUGUCUCCUAUAUUGAGAAUCCGGAGCUUGGGGCACUGUUUCUGUCACUCCUGCAUCGCCUCUGUCUUUUAUCUAAACAUACAAACGUAGCAAUAUUUCAGGAAAAUCAAUUCACAUUGUUUUAGUUGGACAAAACUGGGAAGAAAGAAUUCAGGAAUCAGCUGGUAUAAGAAGUCCUCAAAAAAAAAACACUAUACUCCGUAUCAAAGAACUCCAAAUCCACGAGUCUUUUAUUUAUUUUUUGAGGGGCCAAAUCCACGAGUGAUAGAGUUUGGGCCGGGAUUAUUCUCUGCCUGGUGGAUCGACAGAGUUUGGGCCGGAAUUUUCCUCGCGACGGCCGAACCAAAGCUUCCCUGGAUUGGGCUACCGGGAAGGCCUCACGAUUUUUAUGUCCAUCCCACCAAACUCCCGAUUCCUUGUUCUAAAAAUAAAUAAAUAAAACUCCCGAUUCCUCCGUCCUCCCGAUCCGCCGCCGCCGCCGCCGCAACUAACUCCCGAUCCGCCAUCACCCGCCGUUCUUUCAACAUCUCGAUCCGCCUCCUAGCCGUCUCCCACGGCCACGUAUUGGCCGUCAGCCAUGAGAGGGCAGCGAAGCAGUAAAAGGACAAGAUCCACACCUCCGCCGUCAGCCCUGAGACUGGGAGGGCCGCAUAAAAGGAUGAGGGCCGCCGCACCCGCAUCGACGACGACGACGGCCUCUCUGCCGGAAGAUAUCGUAACCGACAUCCUCCUGCUCCUGCCGGCCAAGUCCCUGGCGCGGUUCCGCUGCGUGUGACGUUCAUGGAACGCCCAGAUCGGCUCCCGCGGCUUCCAGCAGCGCCACCACGGCCAGAUCCCGCCCAAGCUGGCCUUCGUCCCCAUGGCGCCGGAGCCCUGCAUCAACCACUUCCCGCGGUGCAGAGGCUGCCCCAGGCUCGUCUGCCCCAGGCCCUGCCGUGGGCUCGUCCUCCUCGAGCGCCGCUGCCUCGGCUACUUCUCCGUCUGCAACCUCUCCACCGGCGGCGUCCUGCACCUCCCGCUCCCGCCGCUCGUCAACAUCAUCGACGACGACGUCCACAGCGCCGGAAUCGGCUUCGACGCGUCGACUGGACAGUACAAGGUGGUCAAUCUGAGGAUCAAUUGCGUCGGCGUUGCAAGGGUCAACGUGAUCACCUUGACCAUGGACGAUGCCUCCGUGCCAGGCGCGACCGGAGUCUGGAGGUCGCCGGGGCCGCUUGCCGAUAGGUCAUUCUUGGACGAUGACUGGAGGUCUCCGUUUGCCGGUGGCGCCGGCGACGAUCGGUUAAUCUUGGCCAAUGAUCCAGCUUGCACUAGAAUCUUUGUUGAUAAACAUGUGAACCCGGUGUUCACUGGAUGUUCAGGACUGACGAAUGGAGGUAUGACGAGUCCCAUGGCAUCCUCUCUUUCUCGCUCGCCGAUGAAUCGUUCCGGCGAGCUCCCCAGUCCUAUUUUUCCACGGCCGAUCUCGUCUCGCCGUCGCCGGAGGACUACACUGCCAACAAAUUAAUUUACAAGCGACGACGAAACGAAGGACCUGAAUUUGGUUCCACGUCUGACGACGACGAAGUGAUCAUGCCACUCGGAAGAGCCCUGGUGGAGCUCAACGGGAGCCUCUGCAUGGUGCGUGAUGUGCGCCGCCGCCGCCGCAACGAUGUGAAAGGGCAGCGCUUGUUUGAGAUAUGGAAGCUACAGGAUUGCAAAGCCGGGUCAUGGUCAAUGGACUAUAGCAUCAACAGCAGUAGCCUGGCCGGCCAACAAGAAGACAUUGUGGAGCAGCAGCUGACCAAGCCACGGCUUGUCGUUCCUAUCUGCUACAUUGGCACCGGCAGCAGCAGGAAGAUGGUGCUCCUUACAUCGGCACACAAGGCACAUGUCUACGACCCAGACACCAACGCUCUCCAGACCGUGGCUGAUUUUUGCAGUGAGGCGGUGAAGGAGCCUUGUCCUGAGCUGUUGCGCUUCGUCUUGUACCAACAGUCUCUUGUUCACCUGGAUGACAUGGAGCAUGGCCUCGAUUUUUCCUGAGACUGAUGGUUCUGCUUCUCCAUGAGCAACUAAAACUACCACAAAUUCACAUGCUAUUGCCCCGUAGUUGGUUUCUUAAGGUGAUUAUCCCAUUGGAGCAAAUGUUCUAGGCGAUUGGCUACUAUUAGCGAAGUGGUUUGCCUUUCUUAUGGCUUGUGGCCAAAGUUCUAAAUUGCAAUGCAGAAUGAUGCAGCUAAAUUGGACACCUCUAUGAUUUAUCCCCAAUCUCACCACAGUAUAUCUCAUAAUGUGGAAAAUCAAGGAAUUAAGUAUAUGGGGCUCAUUGUUUAUCCACAGUGUUCAAUACCAUGACUAACAUACUACUUAUGAGUAAAUUCUCAACUGCAUACCAGCUAGAAUCAAGAAUAAUUAAGCUGGGGACUGAAUAGAGUUGUUUCACAUCUCCAUUAAGAGGCAGAAGCGGGAAAACAAGUACUCCCUCCUAUCCAUAAUAAGUGUCGCUAAUUUAGUACAACUUUGUACUAGAGUGGGAGUAAUACAAAUGGGAUUUUGUAUGAGUAGGCCUCGAAGCAAGCAUGGAUUCUUUACCAGAUGGAACAUCAUGAAAAUUAAAGCAGAGUAUAUGGUGUUAUUCGUAUGCUGAUGUUGGUGUGUCUUUCAUACACUUGGUACCAGAAAAGGUAAGUACCAUUCAUUGUCUCGACCCAUCAUAUAAAAGAGCAAGCGAAGGAUUCUGAAAUGCUGCAUGAUAUGAGAUGAUUAGUUCAUGGAAGGCACUCCGGUGGCUUUUCUAUGGUAGCUAGGCUUGGGAGGGAUUGGGAGCUCUUCUAUUGCCAAUGUGAUCUACUAUUGUCUUAUUUCACUGUUUUGGUCUCCAACUUUGUGGUAGAAUUUGGCUUAGAUACGCUGCAUCAUGCAGAGUGGGGAUUCAGGGCUGGCUUCAGAGAGAUGUGUGUUCAGUGGCCGAAAUUCAGGGCGUGGCGGAUAUAAUUAUGUUACUCCUAACACAUUCUCCAGUUACUCCUAACACAUUCUCCAGUAAUCACUCAGCAAACUGGAUAUCGAUUGUUAGCCGCAAGAAAGGAGAUGGGGAAAGAAGGAGCCGCACCGCUCCCUGUUGUCAUGAUCUUAUCGAAUGUCUUCUGGCAGAGCCUCCUUUUAAUGGCAGCAGCUCUCGGUAACAGCAUAAUGGACUAGCCAAUUCCAUCGGCCCAAGCACCUGUAUAUGUAGAGAUGCAAAUAGGUCUCAACAAAUUAUUGAUUUGCUGCAUCUAUGUGUUAUGCCCUUGUACUAUAAUGGCAGCAGCUCUCGGUAACAGCAGAAAGGAUUUGUAGAGCACAUCAAUGGAUGGAUGUUUGCCCAAAGAUACGAAUUCAUAUACAAGUUGCAGUUUGAAUAUCCA